UACCGCAAGGUCCACUAAAGGGUGCUAGCAGCGAUGGUGGUAUAGAGUAGGUGACAAAACCACAGAAGAAGAAGAAAUCCUGAGGGCGAAAAUACGUCAAGUCAUCGUGGAUUGUCUUCCUUAUUCUGUACCACAGGUUAGUACAAAGUAGAGAUAAUUUAUAUUUUAACGGCUGUAAAGAGUUUAGAAAGUUGCUAGAGUAAACAGCUGACUGCUAAAUAUUUGUGACAAAAUAUGUUGUAGAGCAUUUGAACAUAAGCGAAAUGGCUAAUGCUAGCAAGCCUUAAUGAACAGUUAAUAGCAUGAAGCAGGCUAAUUGAAAUAUGUGAAAUGUGAAUGGAAACAAAUUGGUAAUUGUUGAUGUAAUUAUUUUAUGAUAUCUGUAGUGUUGUUAUUUUUGAGAGGAAGAAUAAAUCCUGAGGGUAAAUAUAUGUGAAUGUACGUCAAGUCUAAAAUAACCAAAUCUCCAUUGUUAGCGUUUGGGUGUAAUACCGCAACGUCCACUAGGGGGUGCUAGCAGCGAUGGUGGUAUAGAGUAGGUGACAAAACGACACAGGAAGAAGAAAUCCAGAGGGCGAAUAUACGUCAAGUCAUCGUGGAUUGUCUUCCUUAUUCUGUACCACAGGUCCGCUAGGGGGUGCUAGCAGCGAUGGUGGUAUAGAGUAGGUGACAAAACGACACAGGAAGAAGAAAUCUAGAGGGCGAAUAUACGUCAAGUCAUCGUGGAUUGUCUUCCUUAUUCUGUACCACAGGUUAGUACAAAGUACAGAUAAUUUAUAUUUUAACGGAUGUAAAGAGUUUAGAAAGUUGCUAGAGUAAACAGCUGACUGCUAAAUGUUUGUUAAAAAUGUGUUGUAAAGCAUUUGAACAUAAGCAUAAUGGCUAAUGCUAGCAAGCCUUAACCCUUCGAUGCACGAGUGACUGGACCCUCCACUCUUCCAUAAGUGGAUCAAAAAUCACCCAUACUAGAAUCAAUGCCUUUUUAUGCAAAUUUUGCCAUUUUGGUUAGGAAUAAUCACUUGUAUGAUAUUUAGUAUUAUAUUUAGGACCACACAAGAAUGAUUUCAUGUUAGAAACAUCUUCAUUUUUCACUUUUUUCCAUCUUUGAAAAAGAAAAUUACCCUGUACAUCAAUAGAAAAUGGGAGGAUCCAUUGUGUGUUUCAUAAAGGGAAGUUAAAAAUGUGAACGGCAUGAUAUCAAAAAUAUGUUUUUUGAGCAAUACCUGGAAUAUGAAAUGAUAACAAUUUUUCAUUCCAAAGAUAUUUCAAGAAAACAACCUGACCGGGUCAUUUUUGACCCACUUAUGAAAGGUUGGGGUAGUAACAGAAAUACAAAAAAUUCUUAAAAUGUAUAAAAGUUAAGUUAAAAAUGUGAACGGCAUGAUAUCAAAAACAUGUCUUUUGAGGAAUAACUGGAAUAUGACAUGAUAAAAUAAUUUCAUUAUGAAGAUAUUUCAAGAAAACAACCUGACCGGGUCAUUUUUGCCCCACUUAUGGAAGAUUUCUUAAAAUUUCUUAAAAUGUAUAAAAGGGUAAGGGUAAGUAUCAAAAACGUGUUUUUUGAGGAAUACCUGGAAUAUACAUCAAGUCAUCGUGGAUUGUCUUCCUUAUUCUGUACCACAGGAAUUUCAAGGCAUACAACCCCUCCAGGUGGUGGAGGGGCAACAUCUGCACGCUUUUAUCAUUGGCACUGACACCCAUCCCAAAGGCGGCCCGGGGGCCGCUUGUUUGAUGCACACCAGGGUCCUCAAAAUGACGAGAGAAUGUCAUGUAACUCACUGUGUCUGCAUCCAUAAACAAUGCGGGACACUCGGCACACGUCAGCAUUUGAGAUGACCUCAGGAACUUUGACCCUAAUCCUCCCAGGCUGUCGCCAAGACGCUUUGACGAGGCCUGCUCCCUUCAUUAACGGACUACCUGGAAGAGGGAGGAGAACACGUGGAAAGUGUAGACCGCGCAGGAGCCGUCCAAGUCGGACACCAGCUGGCCGAGGUUAUGCAUGGACAAGUCAAGGGAACCUACAAGCUGAGACUGGGAGAGAAUCCGGCCGACAGAGAGCGAAUCCUCCUCGGAGGACUCGUCGGAGUCCUCUUCGGGCGUGAUGCGGCUCAGGCUGGGCAUGCUGCUGGACAGGUGGCUCUCCUCCAGGGUGUGAAGGUCACUCUGGUCCAGGCUGUCCACUGAGUGUCGGCGUACGCCCCAGUUGAAGUUGUCCAUGGUCUCCCCCUGAAACGGCGAGCACAUUCAUCAAGCACGAGCUCCUCACUGCGGCGGACACAACAUUAGGUACACUUACACUGUCCAGCACGAGCAGCAUCAUUUUAGGUCGGGUUACUAAAACUGUGCUCCAUUUAUUCUCCAUGUUUGUCUAUAUCUAUAUAUAUAUAUAUAUCUCUCUCUAUAUAUAUAUAUAUAUAGAUAUAUAUAUAUAGGGAUUCUGUGUACCUAAUGAAGUGUCCAGUCUGUUUGUUUACAUUCAUGCAGUGGUCCAAGUAUGUCUCCUCCUCUCCAUAAGAAUGGUAGGAAUGCUGUAGUCUGACCCACAGUCUCACAUUCCCACUUACGCUACACUCCGACAUUUCAAGCUAACUAAACUACGUUGGCGUCACAUCGAGUCAACAAAAAUGCAUUAAAUGUACAAAGUAGUUAUUUUGAUAUUUUUCCCAAUUUGCUCCUUUCAUGAUUUUAUAACUAUUUUUAUAUUUUAUAUAAAUAUAUAUUAUAUUUUAUUUCAUUUGAACAUGCAUCAGAUUACAAUUGAGUGCAUCUCAUAAUCAGUUCCCAGUUCCACAUGUCCAAAAGGAGUAGGAAGAAGCAAAGCUUAUUAAAUCCUACCCCUCCAUCUGGUACUUUUACAAUCACUAACUGUUACAUUUGUUCACUUCCUGCUUUCCUAAUAUAAUGUAUUUAUUCAUUUUAAUUUUUUAAAAUUAAAAUUAAUUUUAAUUAUUAAAUCCUACCCCUCCAUCUGGUACUUUUACAAUCAGUAACUGUUACAUUUGUUCACUUCCUGCUUUCCAUAAUACAGUUUAGUUUUUUUUUAUUAUUUAUAUAAAUAUAAUUUAUAUUUUUCAUAGUUUAUACUUUUUAAAAUAUUUUAAAUAUUUUAUAUUUCUGUUAUAUAUAUUAAUUAUAUUAUAUUAUUUUUCAUAUUUUUUAAUAUUGUUUGCUAUGUAAAUAAAGUAAAAAGUAUGUAGUAAUAUAAUAUGUAAGCGUAUUAACUGACAUAGUGGGCUUUUGUUGUUAUUUCAAUUACAGAAACUCUGUUUAUAAAACGUGCUACAUUAAGGUUGUAAUUGAUUAUGGGAUGCACUCAAUUGUAAUCUGAUGCAUGUUCAAAUGAAAUUAAACCAUUACCAUUUAUUUUAUGACCAAUUUAUUAACACAUUUAAUUCAAUUGAACCACAAUUCCAGCUAUGUUCCAAAUAUUCCCGAUAAGCUGGAAAACACAUGCAGACUUCCACGGAGUCUUUUCUCGAAACAACCACGGCAAGUCAUGGCAUGCAAACACAGCAAAAACGACAACAUGGACAAAACUUGAAAGUGACUUACCUGCAACUCCUAGAUAGCACCCGGAAACACAAAAAUAAAGCAUUACUAAGUGGACCUGCGCCGCGGUACCACAUCCAAAAUGGCGGCCGACCAGCGCUUCCCUCACGAUGAGCUCACCUCUCCAUCUUCAAGCUCCACAUCCAGGAAGUCAAAGUCCCUGAAGACUCGGAACUGCUGCUCUGAGGCCGUGUCGUCCACCGUGUCCGCUUCUCGGGUCCCCUCGUCGGAGGACACCAGGCUGGGCUGGUGCUCCAUGAGGUCCAGUUCUCCACAGCUGGAGAAAAUCACCUUCACCGACAAGACGUCAAUCAAUCAAUCAAUCAAUCAGGACAGUGGGGGGCAUGUCUAUCAGCGUCGCUUACUGAAGGAUUUUUGGAUCACAUCAUCACCUGGGAAGACUGAGGCCUCUUCCAGCUGACGGGAACCAGAACGUUGUUGCCCGUGGAUCCUGAGGAGCUGGACGAGGCGCUGCGGGUCACUGCCGCGGUUCGACUUCUCCCGUCUCGCCCGGAGGAAGCGUGCAAGUCAUCGUAGCGUCGGCCAAUCACGGGCGUCUGGCAACACAAAGCAAAAAAACUAAAAAGUUUUUUCGGUUUAAAAGAUGUUUUUUUUUAGUAGUUUAAGGAUCAGCACAAACAUUCCGUGUUGAUGGGCGACAAGUCACUGAUUCACACACAAAAGGCGGCGGCAAUGAUGUGACAUCACUUCCUGCCAUUCAUGCGCUACACAAAUAGCUCAGUGUUCUGUUCCCACAUUUUUUUUUUCCCAUGUAGUCUGCUGCUCGGCUUCUUUACUGUUUACCUUUUUAGCUUUUAAGCUAAUUCCCAAGUGGGACAAAAGGUGGGGGUAAAUGUUACCCCCGUUUUUGUAAGAAUGUGACCCACCCACCCACCACACCCUGGAAAAAAGGCUGGAGAAGAAAAAGGUCUUUCACCUCCGAUAUGUCAAAGUGGAAGUGGAGCGUUUUUCCGGGCAAGGCCUUGGAGGAGCGUUCCCAAACUCUGCUGAUGUCCUCGUAGGAAAGGUCGCUGGAAGGUCGCACCAAGCUGGCCGAGCGACUCACCACCAGCUUUAGAAUGUUCAACGCUUCCCUCCAGUGGACGCUCUACAGCACAUUCACACAAAAUAUCAUCAUCAUCAUCAUAAUAAUUCAUAAUAAUGUUUAACGCUUCCCUCCAGUGGAUGCUCUACAGCGGAUACACACAAAAUAUCAUCAUCAUCAUCACAAGCCUGUUGGUGCGGUGUAAUGGUUUCUAUUUUUAGAACCAGAGGUGUUCUGGCAAAGCUGAGCGGACGCCACAGCGCUUGGCACGGUUUAUGGUUUGGGUGUGUCCACGCAAUUACUGAGCUGACACGAAACGCCCCUUUUUUUCCCCUCUUUCUCGUUGAAAAGCAGUGACGGGAAUGCAAACAUUUGAAGUCAUUUCCUUGUUCCUCAAUCAUACGCAAUAUUGAUUUUCCACCAAGAGAUAUCUCUAUGCACGCAUAACCAAUAUUAUGGUGUCAUAACAUGAAGCAAUUGAAUUGAAAACAGUGCAAUCAUAUGGUUGUUAUUAGCUAUUACUAAAAAGAUCAAU